rnacentral:rRNA from 1 species
GACGAACGCUGGCGGCGUGCUUAACACAUGCAAGUCGAACGGAAAGGCCCUGCUUGCAGGGCACUCGAGUGGCGAACGGGUGAGUAACACGUGGGUGAUCUGCCCUGCACUUCGGGAUAAGCCUGGGAAACUGGGUCUAAUACCGGAUAUGACCUUCCAUGUAGUGUGGGGGGUGGAAAGAUUUAUCGGUGUGGGAUGAGCCCGCGGCCUAUCAGCUUGUUGGUGGGGUAAUGGCCUACCAAGGCGUCGACGGGUAGCCGGCCUGAGAGGGUGGACGGCCACAUUGGGACUGAGAUACGGCCCAGACUCCUACGGGAGGCAGCAGUGGGGAAUAUUGCACAAUGGGCGGAAGCCUUAUGCAGCGACGCCGCGUGGGGGAUGACGGCCUUCGGGUUGUAAACCUCUUUCGGCAGGGACGAAGCUUCGGUGACGGUACCUGUAUAAGAAGCACCGGCUAACUACGUG